GCAGGGGUGGCAUAGUGGUAGACGCUGCAGUCUCCUAAUCAGUCAGCGUGCGCUGCGCGGGUUCGAAUCUUGUCCCAAGAG